UUCUAGAUCUGAGGAUGAAGAAUGAAGCUCAGAGCCUUGCAGCGGGAAGAACUUUAUCUGAACAAGAGGCAGAAUUUCCCAGUGGUCCCCUCUUUCUGGAAGCCUUGUCCCUGGUGGGCAGGGGAAGAAGGACAGUGGGGAGAUCAAACUGUCGCUUUUACAGUGCUAGGGCCCAGGUUCUAAGAGUUCCUGGAUUACUCGAAAAGUUUAUCAAUGUGAGCUUCCUGUGAGAACAUUCUAGGAAGUUUAAUUGAGAACAGAAAAAUAUGGAGCCAUUUGAAAUGAUCCAAGUGGGACUCAGGGCUGGGUCAAGGAAGAGGAGUCAGCAAAGAAGCUGGAGAACGAAGAGAGAGUGUGGAGAAAAAGCAGUGUCCAAAGCCACAAGUGGAGUGAGCUGGGGAAGCCAGCCCUGAAUGGCAGAACUACCAAGUGAGCCCAACAGAGUCCCA